CAAGCCGUCGUCGAUCCUUGCGCUACUACGGGAGCCGCCGCCGAUCCCAUUGAGAAGCCGCCGCCGAUGACGGGAGACGCCGCCGAUCCCGUUGAGGAGCCGCCGCCGAUGACGGGAGACGCCGCACGCUGACCUACCCCCUCCCCAAUCCCUAGCCUCGCACCUCUUCCCGUCUGGCGCCUCCUACCUCGGCUGGGCGGUGGCCUCAAGUGCCUCUUCUUCCCCAAUGCGGCCUCAACCAACGAUGCUGCACCCCGGUGACGACUCCGCCCCACGAUUCCCAUCGGUCGGCGCCUCGCCAGCAGCGACCUCCCCCUCCAUGUAUCUUGUGAUCCGGUCGUGAGCCACCGCCUCUCCAGGCGCCUAGAUCCCGGCUUCCAGAAGGGGAUAGGGGUGGAGGCGGCAGCGGAGGGGACAGGGAUGUGACCGGAGGAACUACAUGGAGCUGCAGGUAACUACUUCCCUGAGUCUCCUUCGUAGGUGUGGUCACUAUAUUUCCUACUUGUGCAGAUCCUAACUGGUUGUAACUCCGUUCAUUCUCUUCCUAAUAGUAGUUCGUCAUCCACAUUGGACUAAUCUAAUGCACUCGAAUUGCCUUGGUGAGUGAAAAUAACGAUAUAGGCUUGAUGUGUACAAGCGCAUAGCUCCUUAUCUAGCCUAAUCUGAAUGUAGCUUAUAUUCUUAAUCUUUUUAUGCACACUAUUUUAGCCAGCGGCAGAUGUUGGGCACUCUGAGGUAUGCAAACCUUCUCAGAGCAAGGGGAGCAAGAGUACCACUGCAUUUCUUAUCUUCAUCACUCAAAAUUCCCAGAACUAAUCGUGAGCUCUUGCUUUGAUACAGAACUAAUCUUGAAGGUGAUAGCCUUGUUUCUUCCCUGUUUUAGAUCAACCGUUCUUCUUUCUUCCUUGGAGCUCCACUGUUUUGGAUGAACUGGACUAACCCUAGAAGGGAUGAAGGUCAUCCACGAGGUGUCUCAAGGUGAACCCCGUGGUACCCGACCAAGUGGCUGGAGGGAAUGGUGUAUGCUCACAAGUUUGUACAGACCAAUUUGUUUCACUCGGACAAGAAUCCCACGAACCUUAAUGUGGCCUUUAAGUUUCAGGUCCUUGGGGUUGGAUGCGGCAACUCGCGGCUCGAAGACAAUCUUUUGUGGUGGGGCGUCGCCGCCGGCGGCAGCACCUGCAUAGACUGUCUCGCUGGGAACGAAGAGAUGCUCCCCUGAUUUGGAGCUGUAGAAAGGAGGUGGUUGUAGACACAAAGUGGGGACACACAACUCCCAGUCAUAAUAUUCUUUAUCUUGGCUUGUUGUUUGGGGAUGGACGCAUCAAACUGAUGGCGCUCUCCUCCAUGCCAAACGGAUCCUUGGUUCGGAGGCGCGCGGCGCCGACGAUGACAACCUUUCUGUCAACGCAAGGGCAGCAGGAGCUCAUGAUGCUGUUGAUGCCACCACCAUGAAUGGGGUUGAUGCAAGGUGGGACAAUGCGAUCACUAAUGGGGAGAACAUAAAACUUCAGUUGGGGGCACUGUGAUUCUCUAGCUACAUGUAUCAUGUCCAAAAGAGAUCCUUAUUUCACCUUUGUUUAUAGGUAUUCAACGUGAGGAAUUUUAUACUUUUGGAGUGGAGCUAUCAAAUAUAUAUUAUGAGUUUCUAAAACAUCUAUUAUAAGGAGUUGAAGAGAGCUUCCUCUGCCCCAGCAAAUUCUGAGAAAACCAACCAGCAGAGAACAUGAACAAAUAUAGUGAUGAGAAAGGGUGGAGCUGAGUACACCACACAUGGAUAUGAUGGUCUCCCCUAUGUUCUUUUUGGCAAUCCACUUAAUCACUGACUCAACUUUGUAUGGGGCGCUUCCGAGCACAGAUGGUGGCGGUGAAGCAGCAUGCCCGAGAGAGCGUGCAGGGGAGGAAGGAGUUCCUGGUGGAGGUGCUGAUACUGGCGGUGCUCAGCCACCCUAACUUCGUCAGCCUGAUCGGCUUCUGCGCGCAGGGGACAAGCGGCUGCUGUUGUACGAGUACAUGCCCUUCGGCAGCCUGGAGAGUCAUCUCUUUGGUAAUACUUCUCAAAAUUAUUUAGACUUGCUAAUAGAGCAUUCGAUGUUUAGCUUCUGCCAAUCUGUACAUUCUGUUCUUAGAUUUAUUUUCCCUCAAUACCUUGUUUAGUACAAGGAAGGACUGAUAUUAUUCCCCAGCCAGGGUCGUUGAUUAUUGUUUAUUUUAUCAUAGUUCAGUGUUUUUCAUCUGAAAAUAGAUUCAAAUGUGUACAGAGUAAGGGUCGUUAAAUUUUUAUCUAUAGUCCUUCAUCACCAUCAUCGAGCCGCUGGAAGGUGGGAAGCAGAGAGGAUGUGUCAUAGGAGGAUUCCAUCAGAUUAGUUAGAAAUUAGAAUGCCGCUCAACCUAGCAUUAAGGUUGGUUGAGCCUGAUGCACUAGCACAUUGGAUUAGUUGAAAAUCAGAAUGUACGAUUAAUUAUUAGAGAACUAUACAUGCAGAUUACUCAUGUGUGUCUCGGUACCAUGAUUGCAUCGGAAACACGUUAAUUAUGUAAGAGACGAAUAGGAGUAAUGACAUCAUAGCUCGGGCGUCUUGGGAGGAAAGUGGCGUCGGUGGUGCUGAGCCAGAACAAGUUCACCGGCUCUCCUUCUACCUGCUGGAGCAUAUGGACGUGUCACGGAACCCCUUCGUCGGGCCGUUCCUGUUGGCGCUACUGUCUGUCCAGUACCUGAGCAUAGCCGGCAACGGGUUCACCCAGGCGCUAUCCGACAAGGGGUCCUGCUGGGACAACCUCCGGCUUGUCGACCUGAUGGGGAGCAUCCCUCCCCCCACUAUCGCCAUCCUAUCCAACCAGCCGCCAAGCAUCUACUACUGCUCCCACUGGAUAUGUAACCCAUCUGACUCCCUUCGCUUCCUGUUCUUCCCUUGAUAUUAUCAAUUUGUGUGCAAAUGCUCUUUUUCAGUAGCUUAGUUACGGACUCUGAUUUUAUUCUUGUUUCAUGGAGGCACUUAUAUAUGAAUAGCGUGCAUACAUCUGCACAACUGCAUAACAGUCACAAAUGAUUGUUUUGUGAAUCUGCAGAGAAUCUAAUUAUCCAUGUAUCGGCAAUAGCCAGAUUAAUUUGUUUACCCAAAUUAUCAAGGUGAAUUCCCUGUUCUCGUUUUCUCAAGUCGAUGAUGCAUGCCAAAUAUCCUACCACUUUACAUUCGCUCUCUUUAAAUCACUCAUCUCUUUGAUCAGGAAGCAUCUUGCUAUGAUCAAUAAAGACGGAAAAACAGUGCACACAAUAGAUGAGUGGCCGAGUACAAUGAACUUCUUUUAUAGUCAUGGAUUAUUCAUGUGUUAAACAAGUUCUGCUCAUCGAUUAGUUAUUAUCAAACAUGUGGAUUAUGUUUUUACUAUAAUUUAUGAUUUAAUUUGUACCUUGCAAACUCGGCAAGUAAAAAUAUCACUUAUUUAAGAGCCGAGAGAGUGUUGUUAAAAUGUGUCUGGUUACCUUUUAAAUGUUUUACAAGAUUCAGCGAUAUAUGAGUAUAUUUCCAUGUCUACUUGAUUUCUAUACAGAAUAUGGAACCAGAUGUAGUGAAAUAUUUGCAUACCAUGUCUGGAUUCAGCAAGCUAUUUACUGAUGGCUGAUUUUUAAGGAUGUCUUAUGAAGUUGUGAUUCUGCGAGGAAAAGCUCGUGAGUGGAAUUAUUCAGUAUGGUGCUUGUGAUGUUUCCUUCAUAGCUCUUUUACAAUCAGCCAUUACUCUAUUAUUAUUCGUAAAUGGUCCUCUAAAUCCUAAAUACACAAUAGAUUUUUUGUUGCAUUCAUCUGUGUGUUACAAUCUAUUUCUUUCAUAUUUUUUCAGCUGUUCCAUUAUAUAUAUUCACUUUGGAAGGCAAAAAUUAUAUGUUGGCUGGUUGCCCGAGAAAUUAAAAAGGCUAAAUCUUGAGUUGUAUGGAGCAUGGUCAUUUGCUUGAAGUUUCCAAUGGACUGUAUAUACCAUUGAAUGAGAGGAAUUAUUCCAUAAGUGUGGACAAAUUGAGCUGAUCGAUUGAUUGAGAAAAUCUGGAUGUUCUCAGAUCUCCUUGCUCCACUACUCCUUGGAUUAUUACCUUUGUUCAUAUAUUUUGGUUUAUCUGAGCUGAAGGUAACCUUCUUAAACUAUCCAUAAAAUUAGUUCAAAUUAUUAAUUAAUUGUUUGCUUAAUUGUGUUGUCUAUCUAUUCUUUUGUACAUAGAAGAUAUAACCUCCAAAUCUGCACAUGCUUUUGCCAAUGUAUCCAUCCUGAUAUUUCUUAUAAUGUGGAAGUUAUCAGAGCCCUUUUUUAAGCAUCCACUUUGAGUUCACCGGUGGCAGGUAGCUUGUACAAUACUGAAUUUUCAAGGUAACAAAAUCGGUUAUGCGUUGCAGCAAAAUCGAAUGUGGUAGAGAAAAUAUUCAGGCUUCGUAGCGAAACAAUGUCUUUGUUAGGAUAGUACACCCAGAUCCCCGAUGCAUUUGGUUUAUUAUGAUGUAUUGAUACUGAAGUUUGUACCAUAUCUUGAGAAUUAUGAUUUCAGCAGUGAUAAUAUACUCUAGAUAAAAGGAUGGACACAUAAGCUUGGGACAUGAUUGUGGCCGCUGUACUUCAAGAAGGUGCGGAGCUACGGUGAGCAGCAGGUUGCAUCGUCAUGGUGGUCGCCCUCGACCACGAUGGUGUGCACACCUUGGCACCAGGAAUUGGCUUGGGACGCCGUGGAGGG